UACGGAGGGUGCAAGCGUUUAAUCGGAAUUACUGGGCGUAAAGCGUGCGCAGGCGGUUUGUUAAGUCCGUUGUGAAAGCCCCGAGCUCAACUUGGGAAUUGCAGUGGAUACUGGCAGGCUGGAGUACGGUAGAGGAAGGUGGAAUUCCCGGUGUAGCAGUGAAAUGCGUAGAUAUCGGGAGGAACACCAGUGGCGAAGGCGGCCUUCUGGACCAGUACUGACGCUCAUGCACGAAAGCGUGGGGGAGCAAACAGG
rnacentral:rRNA from 1 species